AUUGAACGCUGGCGGCAUGCCUUACACAUGCAAGUCGAACGGCAGCACGGGUGCUUGCCCCUGGUGGCGAGUGGCGAACGGGCGAGUAAUACAUCGGAACAUGUCCUGUAGUGGGGGAUAGCCCGGCGAAAGCCGGAUUAAUACCGCAUACGAUCUACGGAUGAAAGCGGGGGACCUUCGGGCCUCGCGCUAUAGGGUUGGCCGAUGGCUGAUUAGCUAGUUGGUGGGGUAAAGGCCUACCAAGGCGACGAUCAGUAGCUGGUCUGAGAGGACGACCAGCCACACUGGGACUGAGACACGGCCCAGACUCCUACGGGAGGCAGCAGUGGGGAAUUUUGGACAAUGGGGGAAAGCCUGAUCCAGCAAUGCCGCGUGUGUGAAGAAGGCCUUCGGGUUGUAAAGCACUUUUGUCCGGAAAGAAAUCCUUGGCCCUAAUACGGUCGGGGGAUGACGGUACCGGAAGAAUAAGCACCGGCUAACUACGUG
rnacentral:rRNA from 1 species